UUCUUUUGUUUCAGCCUGAACUGGGAGACUUGGAUACCUGGCAGGAAAAUACUAAUGCCUGGGAAGAAGCGGAAGAUGCUGCCUGGCAGGCAGAAGAAGUUCUUAGACAACAGAAGAUAGCAGAAAGGGAAAAAAGAGCAGCAGAACAACAACGCAAGAAAAUGGAGAAAGAGGCUCAAAGGCUAAUGAAAAAGGAACAAAACAAAAUUGGUGUAAAACUGUCCUAACAGAAACCAGGCCUCAAUGGCAGUGCCAGUGAAAAAGAGAAUUCCAGCUCUACAACAUAAAUAUUGGUAUUGAUUCAAGUAUUUCUAGGACUUCAACACACUGUUUGGUUUCAAUGCAUUCUUCAGGUCAUCUCGAAAGCCAGGAUUCUGACAAAGUAUCCUGACCUACUGAUAGGUGGUUCUUCAAAGAGAGAAAACCCCACAGAAAAUCAUGCCUUGAUGGAAUGAUGUUUCCUGCAAUAGUUCUGUUCCAGCACCCCUCUUUGCAGCAACAGUGAUUAAGCAAGGAUGUUGAUUGAAAGACACUCUUAAUGAACAGCUCAAGCCUACAGAAGAGAAUGUAAAUAUUCAGUGGUGGGAAAUCUACUGUAUUGUCUGUGCUUACCUGAAACAUGUAAUUAAACAGUUUUAAAGAAA